rnacentral:rRNA from 1 species
ACGGGUGAGUAACACGUGGGAACGUACCCUUUGGUUCGGAAUAACGCUGGGAAACUAGCGCUAAUACCGGAUACGCCCUUUUGGGGAAAGGCUUGCUGCCGAAGGAUCGGCCCGCGUCUGAUUAGCUGGUUGGUGGGGUAAUGGCCUACCAAGGCGACGAUCAGUAGCUGGUCUGAGAGGAUGAUCAGCCACACUGGGACUGAGACACGGCCCAGACUCCUACGGGAGGCAGCAGUGGGGAAUAUUGGACAAUGGGCGCAAGCCUGAUCCAGCCAUGCCGCGUGAGUGAUGAAGGCCUUAGGGUUGUAAAGCUCUUUUGUCCGGGACGAUAAUGACGGUACCGGAAGAAUAAGCCCCGGCUAACUUCGUGCCAGCAGCCGCGGUAAUACGAAGGGGGCUAGCGUUGCUCGGAAUCACUGGGCGUAAAGGGCGCGUAGGCGGCCAUUCAAGUCGGGGGUGAAAGCCUGUGGCUCAACCACAGAAUUGCCUUCGAUACUGUUUGGCUUGAGUUUGGUAGAGGUUGGUGGAACUGCGAGUGUAGAGGUGAAAUUCGUAGA